GACGAACGCUGGCGGCGUGCCUAAUACAUGCAAGUCGAGCGGACUAAUGGGAGCUUGCUCCCGUUAGUUAGCGGCGGACGGGUGAGUAACACGUGGGCAACCUACCUGUAAGACUGGGAUAACUUCGGGAAACCGGAGCUAAUACCGGAUGACAUAAAGGAACUCCUGUUCCUUUAUUGAAAGAUGGCUUCGGCUAUCACUUACAGAUGGGCCCGCGGCGCAUUAGCUAGUCGGUGAGGUAACGGCUCACCAAGGCGACGAUGCGUAGCCGACCUGAGAGGGUGAUCGGCCACACUGGGACUGAGACACGGCCCAGACUCCUACGGGAGGCAGCAGUAGGGAAUCUUCCGCAAUGGACGAAAGUCUGACGGAGCAACGCCGCGUGAGCGAUGAAGGCCUUCGGGUCGUAAAGCUCUAUUGUUAGGGAAGAAUAAGUGCUAGUUGAAUAAGCUGGCACCUUGACGGUACCUAACCAGAAAGCCACGGCUAACUACGUGCCAGCCGCCGCCGUAACAC
rnacentral:rRNA from 1 species